rnacentral:rRNA from 1 species
ACGGAGGGGGCGAGCGUUGUCCGGAAUUACUGGGCGUAAAGGGUGCGCAGGCGGUUUUUUAAGUCAGAUGUGAAAUACUCGGGCUUAACCUGGGGGGUGCAUUUGAUACUGGCAGGCUUGAAUACAGGUGAGGAGAGUGGAAUUCCUGGUGUAGCGGUGAAAUGCGUAGAUAUUAGACAGAACAUCGGUGGCGAAGGCAGCUUUCAGAACUGUAACUGACGCUGAUGCACGAAAGUGUGGGGAGCAAACAG